UACGUAGGGUGCAAGCGUUGUCCGGAUUUACUGGGUUUAAAGGGUGCGCAGGCGGCUGCGCAAGUCCGGGAUGAAAUGGCGGGGCUCAACCCCGUCGCCGUCCCGGAUACUGCGUGGCUAGAGUCACGGUGAGGAAGCCGGAAUGGACGGUGUAGCGGUGAAAUGCGUAGAGAUCGUCCGGAACGCCUAAUUGCGAAGGCAAGCUUCUGACCGUGCACUGACGCUCAGGCACGAAAGCGUGGGUAGCGAACAGGG
rnacentral:rRNA from 1 species